rnacentral:rRNA from 1 species
ACUUCGGUGAAGGAUUAGCGGCGAACGGGUGAGGAACACGUGAAGAAUCUGCCUUCAACUCUGGGAUAACUGCGGGAAACCGUAGCUAAUACCGGAUACGACACCUUGGGGCAUCCCAGGGUGUGGAAAGAAUUUCGGUCAAGGAUGAGCUCGCGGCCUAUCAGCUAGUUGGUGAGGUAAAGGCUCACCAAGGCGACGACGGGUAGCCGGCCUGAGAGGGCGACCGGCCACACUGGGACUGAGACACGGCCCAGACUCC